rnacentral:tRNA from 1 species
CUUAGCUCAGCUGGGAGAGCAUCUGCCUUACAAGCAGAGGGUCACAGGUUCGAGCCCUGUAGGUCCCA